AGUGAACGCUGGCGGCGUGCUUAACACAUGCAAGUCGAACGAGAACGGACUUAAGCUUGCUUAAGUUGUCAGCUAAGUGGCGCACGGGUGAAUAAUGUAUAGUUAACCUGCCCUCCAGAGAGGAAUAACAGUUGGAAACGACUGCUAAUGCCUUAUAUGCCUUUAAGUGAAAUGGGUUUCCGCCUAAAGAAAAGCUUACGGCUGAUUAGCUUGUUGGUAAGGUAAUGGCUUACCAAGGCGACAAUCAGUAUCUGGUUUGAGAGGAUGAUCAGACACACUGGAACUGAGACACGGUCCAGACUCCUACGGGAGGCAGCAGUGGGGAAUUUUCCGCAAUGGGCGCAAGCCUGACGGAGCAAUUUCGCGUGAAGGAUGACGG
rnacentral:rRNA from 1 species